rnacentral:rRNA from 1 species
GCUUGCACUCUGUGAAACAAGAUACAGGCUAGCGGCGGACGGGUGAGUAACACGUGGGUAACCUAGCCAAGAGAUCGGGAUAACACCUGGAAACAGAUGCUAAUACCGGAUAACAACAGAUGAUGCCUAUCAACUGUUUAAAGAUGGUUCUGCUAUCGCUCUUGGGAUGGGACCUGCGGUGCAUUAGCUAGUUGGUAGGGGUAACGGGCCUACCAAGGCGAUGAUGCAUAGCCGAGUUGAGAGACUGAUCGGCCACAUUGGGACUGAGACACGGCCCAAACUCCUGCGGGAGGCAGCAGUAGGGAAUCUUCCACAAUGGACGCAAGUCUGAUGGAGCAACGCCGCGUGAGUGAAGAAGGGUUUCGGCUCGUAAAGCUCUGUUGUUGGUGAAGAAGGACAGGGGGUAGUAACUGACCUUUGUUUGACGGUAAUCAAUUAGAAAGUCACGGCUAACUACGUGCCAGCAGCCGCGGUAAAU